rnacentral:rRNA from 1 species
AGUUCGGAUCAUGGCUCAGAUUGAACGCUAGCGGGAUGCUUUACACAUGCAAGUCGAACGGCAGCACGGACUUCGGUCUGGUGGCGAGUGGCGAACGGGUGAAGAAUGUAUCGGAACGUGCCUAGUGGGGAUAACUACGCGAAAGCGUAGCUAAUACCGCAUACGUACCUCUUCGGGGGAAAGCGGGGACCUUCGCCUCGCACUAUUAGAGCGGCCGAUAUCGGAUUAGCUAGUUGGUGGGGCAGUCUACCACCAGGCGACGAUCCGUAGCUGGUUUGAGAGGACGACCAGCCACACUGGGACUGACACGGCCCAGACUCCUACGGGAGGCAGCAGUAGGGAAUUUUGACAAUGGGGAAACUUCGAUCCAGCCAUCCCGCGUGUGCGAUGAAGGCCUUCGGGUUGUAAAGCACUUUUGGCAGGAAAGAAACGGCACGGGAUAAUACCCCAGUAACUGACGGUACCUGCAGAAUAAGCACCGGCUUAACUACGCCAGCAGCCGCGGUAAUACGUAGGGUGCAAGCGUUAAUCGGAAUUACUGGGCGUAGCGUGCGCAGGCGGUUCGGAAAGAAAGAUGUGAAAUCCCAGAUUAACUUUGGAACUGCAUUUUUAACUACCGAGCUAGAGUGUGGUCAGAGGGAGGUGAAUUCCUGUGUAGCAGUGAAAUGCGUAGAUAUGCGGGAGUGGACACCGAUGGCGAAGGCAGCCUCCCGGGGAUAAUACCGACGCUCAUGCACGAAAGCGGGGAGCAAACAGGAUUAGAUACCCUGGUAGUCCACGCCCUAAACGAUGUCAACUAGCUGUUGGGGCCGGCCUUAUGGUAGCGCAGCUAACGCGUGGUUGACCGCCUGGGGAGUACGGUCGCAAGAUUAAAUCAAAGGAAUUGGACGGGGACCCGCACAAGCGGUGGAUGAUGUGGAUUAAUUGAUGCAACGCGAAAAACCUUACCUACCCUUGACAUGUCUGGAAUCCCGAAGAGAUUUGGGAGUGCUCGCAAGAGAACCGAACACAGCCAGACAUGGCUGUCGUCAGCUCGUGUCGAGAUGCUGGGUUAAGUCCCGCAACGAGCGCAACCCUUGUCAUUAGUUGCUACGAAAGGGCACUCUAAUGACUGCCGGUGACAAACCGGAGGAAGGUGGGGAUGACGUCAAGUCCUCAUGGCCCUUAUGGGUAGGGCUUCACACGUCAUACAAUGGUCGGGACAGAGGGUCGCCAACCCGCGAGGGGCAUCCCAGAAACCCGAUCGUAGUCCGGAUCGCAGUCUGCAACUCGACUGCGUGAAGUCGGAAUCGCUAGUAAUCGCGGAUCAGCAUGUCGCGGUGAAUACGUUCCCGGGUCUUGUACACACCGCCCGUCACACCAUGGGAGUGGGUUUUACCAGAAGUAGCUAGCUCAACCGUAAGGAGGGCGAUUACCACGGUAGAUUCAUGACUGGGGUGAAGUCGUAACAAGGUAG